rnacentral:lncRNA from 1 species
UUAGAUUUCUAGAACCUAUAUAAGCUUUAUCUCAUCCAUCUAUUGUACUCACCCUUGAAUUAAUAAAAAAAACCAGAAAGUUCUUUGUUUCAAAAACCUUGUGUUCUUGAUUCGUUUUUGCGAGUUCUAGGUAGAUUGUGGAAUCAGUCUCUCUAGGUUUCGUGUUUUGAGACUAAACUCUUUGUGAGGAAUAGCCCUUAGAGUUAGUUUCUGUUGAUACAUUUGUUUUAGUCCAUAAAACAAGUGUAUUGUCAUCACAACCUUCUUCCAUCCCUCCAUCAAAG